UGUUUCCUGUCUUAUUUGUGAUGUUCAAGCCCUGAUUUCACAGAAGAAAUGUCUUUCCUGUCCCGUUUUGCAUGCCCUGCCACUUUUCGUGUCAAAAAGACACCGAUGUCUUGUUUCCCGUUCUAUUGAAGAUGAAGCCUUUGUGUCGAAAUUAUGAAACCCUUUUCCCGUGUAGUUUGUGACCCGUGACGAUGGAUUUUGUUGAAAUAAAGAGUAUAGAAGAAAGAAAAUGGCAUUGAAGCCAAAAAUGAUGAUAAAGUUGCCCAGUUUAACCCCAAAGAGGAAUUGAUGAUGAUUGUCCCCCCA
rnacentral:lncRNA from 1 species